UUUAAAAGUUAGUCUAAAAAGGUACAGCCUUUUAGAAAUGGGUACAACCUUCACUAGAGAGUAAGAUCUAAAAAUACCAUAGUAGGCCUAAAAGCAGCCAUCAAUUAAGAAAGCGUUAAAGCUCAACAACAAUAGUAUUAUUAAUCCCAGCAAUAACAUUAGCCAACUCCUAGAUUUAAUACUGGACUAUUCUAUUACUAAAUAGAAGCAAUAAUGUUAAUAUGAGUAACAAGAAAUAUUUUCUCCUCGCACAAGUUUAAGUCAGUAACUGAUAAUACCCUGACCGUUAACAGUAAAUAAAAAUAACCCAACAAUAAAUGAUUUAUUACUUAUACUGUUAACCCAACACAGGAGUGCACCCAGGAAAGAUUCAAAGAAGUAAAAGGAACUCGGCAAACACUAAACCCCGCCUGUUUACCAAAAACAUCACCUCCAGCAUCCCUAGUAUUGGAGGCACUGCUGCGC
rnacentral:rRNA from 1 species